UGAGUUGCUUGUAAGUCACUAUGAUAAUAUCAAGUCUAAAAGAUACUUAUACCCAUGUGCUUCACGAGUAGCUCUUGAUAGCAGAAUGCUCAGCAGGUGAGUCACUUGUUCAGUAAAAAUAUAUUUCUAUAUCUCACCUGUAUGCCAUACCAGUGUCAUCACACUCCUUGAUUAAGAGGACAACCAACCCAUAUGGCACACAACGACCUCCACUC
rnacentral:lncRNA from 1 species